ACUGAAUUAUUUUUAAGAGCCGCGGUAUUUCUGACUGUGCAAAGGUAGCAUAAUCGUUAGUUUUUUAAUUGGAAUCUUGUAUGAAUGGUUUGACAAAAAAAAGACUGUCUUUAUAAUUAUUAAUUGAAUUUAACUUUUAGGUGAAAAGGCUUAAAUAAAUUAAAAAGACGAUAAGACCCUAUAAAGCUUUAUAUUAAUUUAUUAUUUAAUAAAAUUUUUAGUAUAAAUAUUUGGUAAUAAAUUUUAUUUUAUUGGGGUGAUAAUGGUAAAAUGAUUGAUAACUGUUAAUUUAAUUAAAACAAAAGUAAGUGAAUAAUAAAUUAUGUUAGUAAAGGAUCCUAUUUAAAGAUUUAAAGUUUAAGUUACUUUAGGG
rnacentral:rRNA from 1 species